rnacentral:rRNA from 1 species
UGGGGGAUAUUGCACAAUGGGGGAAACCCUGAUGCAGCGACGCCGCGUGGAGGAAGAAGGUUUUCGGAUUGUAAACUCCUGUCGUUAGGGACGAUAAUGACGGUACCUAACAAGAAAGCACCGGCUAACUACGUGCCAGCAGCCGCGGUAAAACGUAGGGUGCAAGCGUUGUCCGGAAUUACUGGGUGUAAAGGGAGCGCAGGCGGGAAGACAAGUUGGAAGUGAAAACCAUGGGCUCAACCCAUGAAUUGCUUUCAAAACUGUUUUUCUUGAGUAGUGCAGAGGUGGAUGGAAUUCCCGGUGUAGCGGUGGAAUGCGUAGAUAUCGGGAGGAACACCAGUGGCGAAGGCGGUCUACUGGGCACCAACUGACGCUGAGGCUCGAAAGCAUGGGUAGCAAACAGGAUUAGAUACCCUGGUAGUCCAUGCCGUAAACGAUGAUUACUAGGUGUUGGGGGAUUGACCCCCUCAGUGCCGCAGUUAACACAAUAAGUAAUCCACCUGGGGAGUACGACCGCAAGGUUGAAACUCAAAGGAAUUGACGGGGGCCCGCACAAGCAGUGGAGUAUGUGGUUUAAUUCGAAGCAACGCGAAGAACCUUACCAGGUCUUGACAUCCGAUGCAUAGCACAGAGAUGUGUGAAAUCCUUCGGGACAUCGAGACAGGUGGUGCAUGGUUGUCGUCAGCUCGUGUCGUGAGAUGUUGGGUUAAGUCCCGCAACGAGCGCAACCCUUAUUGCCAGUUACUACGUUAAGAGGACUCUGGCGAGACUGCCGUUGACAAAACGGAGGAAGGUGGGGAUGACGUCAAAUCAUCAUGCCCUUUAUGACCUGGGCUACACACGUACUACAAUGGCGUUAAACAAAGAGAAGCAAGACCGCGAGGUGGAGCAAAACUCAAAAACAACGUCUCAGUUCAGAUUGCAGGCUGCAACUCGCCUGCAUGAAGUCGGAAUUGCUAGUAAUCGCGGAUCAGCAUGCCGCGGUGAAUACGUUCCC